CCCUUAGAUGUUCUGGGCCGCACGCGUGCUACACUGAGUAAUUCAAUGGGUAAGGGAACGCUAGAGCAUUACCUAAUCUUGAAAUUUGCUCGUGAUGGGGAUCGACGGCUGCAAUUUUCCGUCGUGAACGAGGAAUACCUUGUAGGCGCAUGUCAUCAUCAUGCGCCGAAUACGUCCCUGCCCUUUGUACACACCGCCCGUCGCUCCUACCGAUUGAGUGAUCCGGUGAGGCUCUGGGACCUGGACGGAAAGAGCGUUUCGCUUGUUCUGUUUGGGAAACUUGGUCGAACCUUAUCAUUUAGAGGAAGGAGAAGUCGUAACA
rnacentral:rRNA from 1 species